AACCGCGUCCGAGGUGGUAAGCCGCGCGAAUGCCCUGACGGCCGAGAAUGAUGCCGCCGGUCGGAAAAUCCGGUCCGGGAAUGAUGUUGAUGAUGUCGUCGAUGACGAGCGCCGGAUCGUUGAUCAGCGCGAUACAUGCGUCGAUCACUUCGCCGAGAUUGUGCGGCGGAAUGUUGGUCGCCAUGCCGACUGCGAUGCCG
rnacentral:misc_RNA from 1 species